GCUUUUAUAAUUAUGCCAGUGAAUCCUAAUAUUAUAUAUAACUAAAAAGAACCAAUAAGAAAUAUUGAAUGGAAGUUUCAGGAAUUAAAAAAGAAAGGCCAUUUUGGCUGCAAUAUUGUAAGGGAAAAGGUGGAGCUAGAGAAACAAGUGAGGCAGUUGGAGGGCAGAGGCACAGCAUGUAGAAAGCCAAGGGAGAGUAUAUAUUCUAAAUCUGACGAAAAAUCAAUUGCAAACAUUCAUGUAGCACAUUGAUAACACUAUUCUAAUCAUUUACAUACUGAGUUUUUAUUAUCCCCGAGUCAACACAAUGAAAUAACUAUUAUUUUUACACUCAUUUUACAGAUGAGGAAGUGGAGGCUCAGAAAGGUUGUGUAAUUUAUCCAAAGUCACAGAAACAGAAAGAAGGCAUUGCCGUUUCAAAGCCUAGGUAGUCACCCUCCAUUUUAAUUUACCUCUCUUGUUUCAUCACACUGCUACUAAAUCAUAGGUAAGUAAGUAGAGAAACCAAGAGUGGAAUCCAAUAUGUUAACCGUAACGAUCAAAUUUGUAAAUAUGACAUGAUACCAAACUGAAAGAGAAACAUUUUAAGUGGAAUUUAUGAGUUCCCUUCUUGUAUAUUAAAGAAUUCAUGUCUUAUUCUCAGACUUCUAUAUCUUAAAGAUAUGCUGUCCUUAUAGUUCUAAUCUUCCUAAUCUAAGUCAGGAAUCAGUCAACUAUUUUGGUAACAGUCCAGUUAGUAAAUAUGUUAUGCCCUGUGGAUUGUUCUAAGAAUCAAAUGAGAAUGGCUACAAAGCACUUAACAUAGUUCCUGGAACAGUACUUGGAAAGCUAUUGAAGAUCAGUUAAUAACUUCCUUACUAGUCCUUCUUAAAGUUUUAUUUUUAAUUGGCAAAUAAUCGUACAUAUUUA
rnacentral:lncRNA from 1 species